UAAUGCUUUAAGGAAACAAAAACCUAGUCCUGGUCACCUGUAUGCCACUUGCCAGUGCAAGGACUUGUCAUAGUUACACUGACUGCUG